UAGUUGGACGCCCUUGGGCCGGCGCGGCCGCGGCUCUCUGCGUCCAGGCGGGAUGGGGCAGUUCAGCCCUUCCCGCCGCCCCCACCUUGGCUGUUGUCGCAGGCAAGAAGACUGUGACGGGCGCUGCGUUGUCCGCGGCCGCCGCAGCCCCUGCCCUGGGCGACGGCCCGGAGCUGGUCACGGUCGGGGUGCGAGAGGCGGAGCAGCGGCCAUUACUGCGCAGCCUCUUCCGCCGGGGUCCUCGUCUCUGCCUUUGGUGGCAACCAGAAUGAACCAGCAGUGGAAGACAAAAUACCACACACUGUUUGACUGCCGGUGA